GCGGCUUAAUUUGACUCAACGCGGGGUAAUUUACCAGGUAUAACAUGGUAUAAUAUUUUAUCAUGAUAGUGGUGCAUGGCCGUUUCCAAUGGAUGCUGUGAAGUAAUGAUUAAUUUCAACAAGAUGUGAGACCUCAUUUAGACAGAUGUAGUGAUACAUAUGAAGGAGAGGAUUAAAACAGGUCCGUUAUGUCCUAAGAUAAUCUGGGUUGCACGCGCAAUACAAUAAUAUUUGAUAUUAUAAGGGAUAAUAUAAUGUAAGAUAUAUUUGAACAUGGAAUUGCUAGUAAAUUUUAUUUAAUAAGUAGAAUUGAAUGAGUCCCUGUUCUUUGUACACACCGCCCGUCGCUAUCUAAGAUGGUAUUAUCUAUGAACAAAUUUAUAAAGUGAAUAGAUAGUACUAGAUCUGAUAUAAGUCGUAACAUGGUUGCUGUUGGAGAACCAUUAGCAGGAUCAUAA
rnacentral:rRNA from 1 species